GGGGAAUUUUGGACAAUGGGCGCAAGCCUGAUCCAGCCAUGCCGCGUGAGUGAAGAAGGCCUUCGGGUUGUAAAGCUCUUUCGGACGGAAAGAAAACGGAUGGGUUAAUACCCUGUUCGGAUGACGGUACCGUCAUAAGAAGCACCGGCUAACUACGUGCCAGCAGCCGCGGUAAUACGUAGGGUGCGAGCGUUAAUCGGAAUUACUGGGCGUAAAGCGUGCGCAGGCGGUUGAUUAAGACAGGCGUGAAAUCCCCGGGCUUAACCUGGGAACUGCGCUUGGGGCUGGUCGGCUAGAGUACGGCAGAGGGGGGUGGAAUUCCACGUGUAGCAGGGAAAUGCGUAGAGAUGUGGAGGAACACCGAUGGCGAAGGCAGCCCCCUGGGCCGAUACUGACGCUCAUGCACGAAAGCGUGGGUAGCAAACA
rnacentral:rRNA from 1 species